rnacentral:rRNA from 1 species
CAGCAGUAGGGAAUUUUCGUCAAUGGGCGCAAGCCUGAACGAGCAAUGCCGCGUGAACGAGGAAGGUCUUCGGAUCGUAAAGUUCUGUUGAAGGGGAAAAAGAGCGGAGAGAGGAAAUGGUCUCCGAUUGAUAUUACCCUUCGAGGAAGUCACGGCUAACUACGUGCCAGCAGCCGCGGUAAUACGUAGGUGGCGAGCGUUAUCCGGAAUGAUUGGGCGUAAAGGGUGCGUAGGCGGCCUGCUAAGUCUGGAGUGAAAGGUACCGGCUCAACCGGUACAGGCUCUGGAAACUGGCGGGCUAGAGAGCAGGAGAGGGCGGUGGAACUCCAUGUGUAGCGGUAAAAUGCGUAGAUAUAUGGAAGAACACCAGUGGCGAAGGCGGCCGCCUGGCCUGUUGACUGACGCUGAGGCACGAAAGCGUGGGGAGCAAAUAGGAUUAGA